UCCACGCUGUAAACGUUGGGCGCUAGGUGUGGGGGGCCUCUCCGGUUCUCUGUGCCGCAGCUAACGCAUUAAGCGCCCCGCCUGGGGAGUACGGCCGCAAGGCUAAAACUCAAAGGAAUUGACGGGGGCCCGCACAAGCGGCGGAGCAUGCGGAUUAAUUCGAUGCAACGCGAAGAACCUUACCUGGGUUUGACAUCACUCGAAAACUCGCAGAGAUGCG
rnacentral:rRNA from 1 species